AUACGGAGGGUGCAAGCGUUACUCGGAAUCACUGGGCGUAAAGCGCGCGCAGGCGGCUUGGUAAGUUGGAUGUGAAAGCCUACGGCUCAACCGUAGAACUGCAUCCAAAACUGUCAAGCUAGAGUGUGAGAGAGGAAGAUGGAAUUAGUUGUGUAGGGGUAAAAUCCGUAGAGAUAACUAGGAAUACCAAAAGCGAAGGCAAUCUUCUGGAACACUACUGACGCUGAGGCGCGAAAGCGUGGGGAGCAAACAGAAUUAGAAACCCUAGUAGUCC
rnacentral:rRNA from 1 species